GGUAUCAGUGGAUGAGGUGGUUGAGUUGAGAACGACAACGGAUUCGCAGUGGUGGUGUAAGGGAGUGGUUUUGAGGGGUGGAGGCGAACGACGUUCUUUGAAAGAAGAAGAUAGGUCUUUUUUUUAUUUGCUUUUUUACUUUUCUUCUUUUUCUUUUUAGUGUGCUCCCCUCAUUACUAUGAGAGAGAGUGAGUUCUUU
rnacentral:lncRNA from 1 species